CCCUGGCAGUCAGAGGCGAUGAAGGACGUGCUAAUCUGCGAUAAGCGUCGGUGAGGUGAUAUGAACCGUUAUAACCGGCGAUUUCCGAAUGGGGAAACCCAGUGUGUUUCGACACACUAUCAUUAACUGAAUCCAUAGGUUAAUGAGGCGAACCGGGGGAACUGAAACAUCUAAGUACCCCGAGGAAAAGAAAUCAACCGAGAUUCCCCCAGUAGCGGCGAGCGAACGGGGAGGAGCCCAGAGCCUGAAUCAGUGUGUGUGUUAGUGGAAGCGUCUGGAAAGGCGCGCGAUACAGGGUGACAG
rnacentral:rRNA from 1 species